rnacentral:rRNA from 1 species
GAUGAACGCUGGCGGCGUGCCUAACACAUGCAAGUCGAGCGUGAUUUAUGAGGACGAAAUUUCGGUCUAGGAAUCAUAAUGAAAGCGGCGGACGGGUGAGUAACGCGUAGGCAACCUGCCCUUAACACAGGGAUAGCCUCGGGAAACCGGGAUUAAAACCUGAUGAUGCCAAAGAGCCACAUGGCUCGUUGGCCAAAGAUUUAUCGGUUAAGGAUGGGCCUGCGUCUGAUUAGUUUGUUGGUGGGGUAACGGCCUACCAAGACUACGAUCAGUAGCCGACCUGAGAGGGUGAUCGGCCACAUUGGAACUGAGACUCGGUCCAAACUCCUACGGGAGGCAGCAGUGGGGAAUAUUGCACAAUGGGCGAAAGCCUGAUGCAGCAACGCCGCGUGAGCGAUGAAGGCCUUUGGGUCGUAAAGCUCUGUCCUUGGGGAAGAAACAAAUGACGGUACCCAAGGAGGAAGCCCCGGCUAACUACGUGCCAGCCGCCGCCGUAAGAC